rnacentral:rRNA from 1 species
UACGUAGGGGGCAAGCGUUUGUCCGGAAUCAUUGGGCGUAAAGAGCGUGUAGGCGGCCCGGUAAGUCCGCUGUGAAAGUCGAGGGCUCAACCCUCGAAUGCCGGCGGAUACUGUCGGGCUAGAGUCCGGAAGAGGCGAGUGGAAUUCCCUGGUGUAGCGGUGAAAUGCGCAGAUAUCAGGAGGAACACCUACGGCGAAGGCAGCUCGCUGGGACGGUACUGACGCUGAGACGCGGAAAGCGUGGGGAGCAAACAGG